rnacentral:rRNA from 1 species
AUACGUAUGUCGCAAGCGUUAUCCGGAAUUAUUGGGCGUAAAGCGAGUCUAGGCGGCUUGUUAAGUCAGAUGUGAAAAUGCGGGGCUCAACUCCGUAUUGCGUUUGAAACUGGCAGACUAGAGUACUGGAGAGGUGGGCGGAACUACAAGUGUAGAGGUGAAAUUCGUAGAUAUUUGUAGGAAUGCCGAUAGUGAAGACAGCUCACUGGACAGAUACUGACGCUAAAGCUCGAAAGCGUGGGGAGCGAACAGGAUUAGAUACCCCAGUAGUCC